CUCAAGUGCUAUCACAAUGAUUAUGUAAAGGGACUACUUUUUAUACUUUUUUUUUAUUUUUUUAUUUUUAAUUCUUUUCUUUUGGUCAAUUCUGAUGAUAGUCAUAUGCUUGAUCAAGUAUCUGUGUCCUGCAUUAUAUGUGGAGCAAAUAUUUCUUAUAAUUUCAGUUCAACUUAGGAUGCAUUUUUAAUGCUGACUCGAAUUCCUUUUUUUUCUUUUAAUUUGAUAAAUAUAUUACAAUUGUUAUUUAUUUAUUUUUUUUUGUCAAUCUGUUGUAACAGUGCAGACCUGGUGUCUAACUGAGCUGAACAGUGGAAAAGAUUAAGGCUUAGUUGUUAGUAUUGUUUCAUAACAAUACUCAUAUGUUCCUGUUGGACAUUCAUUUUUUUCCCUAAAUAUUUUGUCAAAUAGACUGCUUAUUUGAAAAAUGGUUAAUUGUGUUUGUGUUUUUAUUGUUUUAUAACAUGUUCCAGCUGAUUAAUUUUUUACUGAUUUAACAUAAUUAUUUUGCUGAUGAGUAAUUUGUUUUUGUGUUUCCAGUGACAGAGCUAUCCCUUCCUUGA
rnacentral:misc_RNA from 1 species